GAACGCGAAGAACCUUACCAGGUCUUGACAUUGAUGGACGAAACAAGAGAUUGUUUUUCUCCUUCGGGAGCCAGAAAACAGGUGGUGCACGGCUGUCGUCAGCUCGUGUCGCGAGAUGUUGGGUUAAGUCCCGCAACGAGCGCAACCCCUAUCUUAUGUUGCCAGCACUUCGGGUGGGAACUCAUGAGAGACUGCCGCAGACAAUGCGGAGGAAGGCGGGGAUGACGUCAAGUCAUCAUGCCCCUUAUGACCUGGGCUACACACGUACUACAAUGGGCUUUAAUAGAGGGAAGCGAAGCCGCGAGGUGGAGCAAACCCCAGAAACAAGCUCUCAGUUCGGAUCGUAGGCUGCAACUCGCCUACGUGAAGUCGGAAUCGCUAGUAAUCGCAGGUCAGCAUACUGCGGUGAAUACGUUCCCGGGUCUUGUACACACC
rnacentral:rRNA from 1 species